GCCUGGCUAGCACAAUGGCAGUGUGGCGGUCUCCAAAACCGCUUACCGGGGUUCGAUUCCUCGGCCAGGUGCCA
rnacentral:tRNA from 1 species